rnacentral:rRNA from 1 species
GACGAACGCUGGCGGCGUGCUUAACACAUGCAAGUCGGACGGAAAGGCUCCAGCUUGCUGGAGUACUCGAGUGGCGAACGGGUGAGUAACACGUGGGCAAUCUGCCCUGCACUCUGGGAUAAGCCUGGGAAACUGGGUCUAAUACUGGAUAGGACCUUUCUCCUCAUGGGGUUUGGUGGAAAGUUUUUCGGUGCAGGAUGAGCCCGCGGCCUAUCAGCUUGUUGGUGGGGUAAUGGCCCACCAAGGCGACGAUCAGUAGCCGGCUUGAGAGAGUGUACGGCCACAUUGGGACUGAGACACGGCCCAAACUCCUACGGGAGGCAGCAGUGGGGAAUUUUGCACAAUGGGGGAAACCCUGAUGCAGCGACGCCGCGUGAUUUAGAAGGCCUUCGGGUUGUAAAAAUCUUUUUUAUGGGAUGAAAAUGACAGUACCAUAAGAAUAAGGUCCGGCUAAAUACGUGCCAGCAGCCGCGGUAAUACGUAUGGACCGAGCGUUGUCCGGAAUCAUUGGGCGUAAAGGGUACGUAGGCGGCCUAGUAAGUUAGAAGUGAAAUAAUAUAGCUCAACUAUAUAAAGCUUUUAAAACUGUUAGGCUUGAGAGAUGAAAGGGAAAGUGGAAUUCCUAGUGUAGCGGUGAAAUGCGCAGAUAUUAGGAAGAAUACCGGUGGCGAAGGCGACUUUCUGGUCAUCAUCUGACGCUGAGGUACGAAAGCGUGGGUAGCAAACAGGAUUAGAUACCCUGGUAGUCCACGCUGUAAACGAUGAGUGUUAGGUUCUUGGAAUAAUCUGGGAGCCGCAGCUAACGCAUUAAACACUCCGCCUGGGGAGUACGCACGCAAGUGUGAAACUCAAAGGAAUUGACGGGGACCCGCACAAGCAGCGGAGCAUGUGGUUUAAUUCGACGCAACGCGAAGAACCUUACCAAGUCUUGACAUAAUACGGAGGGAGUUAGAGAUAAUUCCUUAUCACUUCGGUGAGCUGUAUUACAGGUGGUGCAUGGUUGUCGUCAGCUCGUGUCGUGAGAUGUUGGGUUAAGUCCCAUAACGAGCGCAACCCCUAUCGUUAGUUACCAUCAUUAAGUUGGGGACUCUAGCGAUACUGCCGGUGAUAAACCGGAGGAAGGUGGGGACGACGUCAAAUCAUCAUGCCCUUUAUGACUUGGGCUACACACGUGCUACAAUGGCAGAUACAGAGGGCAGCGAAAGAGCGAUCUGAAGCGAAACUCACAAAGUCUGUCCCAGUUCGGAUUGUACUCUGCAACUCGAGUACAUGAAGUUGGAGUUGCUAGUAAUCGCGAAUCAGAAUGUCGCGGUGAAUGCGUUCCCGGGUCU